UUUAAGAUCAAAACCGAUUUAAAAACGUGUGUAAACACACAAUUUUGAUCGGGGUAAUUUGAUUUUCACAAAAAAAUAUGUUGAUGAGUAAAAUUUGAAAUAGAGGAAAAGCGACCUAAUCUCCCCCCUUUAUAUUCCACACCUAGUAACUAGCCAAGUGGGGAAUCCUAGUUUUUAAAAUGGAGAGGCGGAUUAGAAAAAGAGAGAGAAAGAGGCACACUUUAUAAAGAAAAAAAACACUUGAUAAGGAGGAAAGGGAGAGGCUAAAACAAGGAUAUCAUCUUCUUCAUCUUCCAUAAGCUAUAAAGAGGUACUUUAUUUCUCAUUUGUUUCAUUCUCUUUUUGUUAUUAUAAUGUAUGUGUACUGUCAAGUAGCUGUGUUUGGAAACUAAUUUCAAAUUUGAACAUCUCACGCUCCUGUUCACCCACAACCCUUCCUCCACAACUGUUUUUUUAUUUUGUAUUUCUCCCCGUUUUGGUCCACCACCGUGGCCAGCGGCGGGGCUGCUGGCACCAUCGCCGCUGGUCAUCUAGCCGCCCAACAGUUCCGACAUCCCCAUCCAGCAAAGGGAUUACCACCAUGGUAACCCCUAACCCUAAACCCCAAUUUAAUUUUUCCCUAACCCCCAAAUUGAUUAUCCAUAACCUAACCCCAAUUUAAUUUUAACCUAUCCCCCAAUUUAAUAUUUACCUAACCGCCAAUUUAAUUUAACCCAAAACCCCCCAAUUUGAUUUUAAACAUAAACCCCAAUUUAAUUUAACUCAAAACCCCCAAAUUGAUUUAGAUCUAAAGCCC
rnacentral:lncRNA from 1 species